AAAACUAUAGUUUAAAAAAAAAUUUAUGAUUUGCAAUCAUAAGAUAUUUAUAUAAAAAUUAGUUUUG
rnacentral:tRNA from 1 species